GACGAACGCUGGCGGCGUGCCUAAUACGUGCAAGUUGAGCGCUGAAGGUUGGUACUUGUACCGACUGGAUGAGCAGCGAACGGGUGAGUAACGCGUGGGGAAUCUGCCUUUGAGCGGGGGACAACAUUUGGAAACGAAUGCUAAUACCGCAUAAAAACUUUAAACACAAGUUUUAAGUUUGAAAGAUGCAAUUGCAUCACUCAAAGAUGAUCCCGCGUUGUAUUAGCUAGUUGGUGAGGUAAAGGCUCACCAAGGCGAUGAUACAUAGCCGACCUGAGAGGGUGAUCGGCCACAUUGGGACUGAGACACGGCCCAAACUCCUACGGGAGGCAGCAGUAGGGAAUCUUCGGCAAUGGACGAAAGUCUGACCGAGCAACGCCGCGUGAGUGAAGAAGGUUUUCGGAUCGUAAAACUCUGUUGGUAGAGAAGAACGUUGGUGAGAGUGGAAAGCUCAUCAAGUGACGGUAACUACCCAGAAAGGGACGGCUAACUACGUG
rnacentral:rRNA from 1 species